rnacentral:rRNA from 1 species
GAUGAACGCUGGCGGCGUGCCUAAUACAUGCAAGUCGAGCGAACGGACGAGAAGCUUGCUUCUCUGAUGUUAGCGGCGGACGGGUGAGUAACACGUGGAUAACCUACCUAUAAGACUGGGAUAACUUCGGGAAACCGUAGCUAAUACCGGAUAAUAUUUUGAACCGCAUGGUUCAAAAGUGAAAGACGGUCUUGCUGUCACUUAUAGAUGGAUCCGCGCUGCAUUAGCUAGUUGGUAAGGUAACGGCUUACCAAGGCAACGAUGCAUAGCCGACCUGAGAGGGUGAUCGGCCACACUGGAACUGAGACACGGUCCAGACUCCUACGGGAGGCAGCAGUAGGGAAUCUUCCGCAAUGGGCGAAAGCCUGACGGAGCAACGCCGCGUGAGUGAGGAAGGUCUUCGGAUCGUAAAACUCUGUUAUUAGGGAAGAACAUAUGUGUAAGUAACUGUGCACAUCUUGACGGUACCUAAUCAGAAAGCCACGGCUAACUACGUGC